rnacentral:tRNA from 1 species
GGCGUUGAUCGCGCGCGAGCGGUGCAGCCGCCGGCGCUGCGCCGGGCCGCGCUCGGUGGCCAGGGCGCGGUUCCAGUGCCGCACCAUGCCG